AGAUUGAACGCUGGCGGCAGGCCUAACACAUGCAAGUCGAGCGGUAGAGAGGUGCUUGCACCUCUUGAGAGCGGCGGACGGGUGAGUAAUGCCUAGGAAUCUGCCUAGUGGUGGGGGAUAACGUUCGGAAACGGACGCUAAUACCGCAUACGUCCUAGGGAGAAAGCGGGGACCUUCGGGCCUCGCGCCAUUAGAUGAGCCUAGGUCGGAUUAGCUAGUUGGUGAGGUAAUGGCUCACCAAGGCGACGACUCCGUAACUGGUCUGAGAGGAUGAUCAGUCACACUGGAACUGAGACACGGUCAGACUCCGUAGGGAGCAGUCAGGUGGGGAAUAGUUGGACUAAGUGGGACGAAAGGUCCUAGACUCCAGCCAAGUCGCCGCGGUUGU
rnacentral:rRNA from 1 species